rnacentral:tRNA from 1 species
UCCCUGGUGACUCAGACAUAAAGAAUCUGCCUACAAUGCAGGAUACCCAGGUUCAAUCCCUGGCUUGGGAA